AUUGAACGCUGGCGGCAGGCUUAACACAUGCAAGUCGAGCGAGCGGCGGACGGGUGAGUAAUGUCUGGGAAACUGCCUGAUGGAGGGGGAUAACUACUGGAAACGGUCGCUAAUACCGCAUACCAUCAGAUGUGCCCAGAUGGGAUUAGCUAGUAGGUGGGGUAAUGGCUCACCUAGGCGACGAUCUCUAGCUGGUAUGAGAGGAGGAUCAGCCACACUGGGACUGAGACACGGCCCAGACUCCUACGGGAGGCAGCAGUGGGGAAUAUUGCACAAUGGGCGCAAGCCUGAUGCAGCCAUGCCGCAUGUAUGAAGAAGGCCUUAGGGUUGUAAAGUACUUUCAGCGGGGAGGCGUUACCCGCAGAAGAAGCACCGGCUAACUCCGUGCCAGCCGCCGCGGUAAUUC
rnacentral:rRNA from 1 species